rnacentral:rRNA from 1 species
GCAAGUCGAACGAGAAGCUUUCCUUCGGGGAAGUGGAAAGUGGCGCACGGGUGCGUAACACGUGGGUAAUCAACCCUUCAGCUCGGGAUAACGGUGGGAAACCACCGCUAAUACCGGAUACGUCGGCAGAGUCUUCGGGCUCUGCUGGGAAAGGCCAGCAACGGUCACUGAAGGACGAGCUCGCGGCCCAUCAGCUUGUUGGUGAGGUAAUGGCUCACCAAGGCUAUGACGGAUAACUGGUCUAAGAGGAUGAUC